GGACGCACAGGAUACACGCAAAAAAUCAAUUCAUGUUGUGACGAUACAAAUCUGUGGCAGUUCCACAUAAAAUAUCCUGAUUCAGUAACAUUUGAAUGAACUAGUUUGAAUGAAAUAUAUUUUAUUCGCAUUGCUCAAAUUUUCUGUAUAUAUAUAUAAUCGCACCAAUGUGCCAACUAUGCAGAAAAUAUACUACUACCGAACGGCCUCGGUUUCAUUCUUACAUUGACUUAAUUGAGCUUUCAAGAAAGACACAGAACUUUAGUAAUCAAGACUGUUAAUUAAUGUUUGUUUUGAUUGUUACCUAAUUAAUUACACUUCUUCAGUAUUUUCGAUGCUACAGUGUAGGUGACUCGAAGGCGUAAUGUUUUGGUUGCCGGUGAUAUUGCAUCUCUUGAUGCCGGUACAAGCAACAUUUUUAUCUAAAUUCUUGCAGAAUGGAAGGGGAAAGGGCAGCAGAAAGAUUGGUGGUAUGAAUAUUCGUUUUGGAUCCACUGUGAUUGAAACGUAGUGCCGGUUGUAUAGCAAGUUCUUGUUGAUAGAAUUUGCAAACAUUUGGAAAUACCAUAUCUAAUAUUUUGCCCAAUCUACGAGUUCCCAUAGAGCCGCUUCAAUUCUCUGGCCAGAGUUCGGCAGGAAGAUUCUGGAACACCACGCUAGACUAGACGAUUCGGAAAAGUAGUUGAACUGGAUCAACCACGCGCGUGAGAUGGUCGCGAAUUGGUGAAGAACAGCUCAUCUCAACUGUGCAAAACGGCCACUUCAGAGGUCGAACAGACAUUGUACUAAUUGUGCUUGAGAUUUCACUUCAGAUAUUCAGGAAUUUUAUACUUAUCGGACGUCCCAGGCAAGAGAAAAGUCCAUAAAAUAGCUAAACCAUAUGGCGGGCCAGGGUUAGUUGGUGCUGGUUGGGAUAGCCAGUUCAUCUAUCCAUAGGAAUGGCGUAUGGUGGUUAUAGAAGCCGUUAUAAUCAUUUGAGCCUGCGCAUCCCCGACUUUAUUAUGAAAUUAGAUUGCACUUGGACGAAAAUUGAAGAAAAUGUGAUUUUAUUAUGUUUUGACUGACGAUGAUCUUAAGUUAACUGAAUGACGAAUAAAAAAAUUGUAAAUUGCAUCACUUUUUGAAUACACAUAUAUAUAUAUGAUUAGGAAUCACUCGAUGUUUAGGCCUUGAA